rnacentral:lncRNA from 1 species
UUUAAACUAACAUUAUUAGAUGAUGAAGUUAUGCAACCUCGUUACUCAUUAAUCAGUCAACUACAUUUUUAUACAAAGAAAGGAAAAUUAUAUUCAAACACAAAUCUAAACAGGAGGAAUUCAACAGGAACAAAGCCUGAUUAAUAUUUCAUUUCGCUUCAAACCGAGAGUGUACAACUGUGUACCUGGAAAUGGCAGUACAAGAACAAAAGAAGGAGGAGUCAGCAGCAGCAAUAACACAUCAACAGAAUCCCACAGCAAAUAACAGCAGCAAAACCAGCAAUAACCAGUGUAACAAUGGUCAGAACCAAAAUGAAAAAAACCCGGAAAGCCUAACUGAAAAUCAGUAACACUAAACGCAAUCCACAGACGCAGUAACAAAGUUCUGAUUUCAGUAGUAAAGAAAAGGACCUCACUUUCAGUUUUUAGCUCUCAAAGACUGAUUUUUAGUUCUGAAAAAUUAGCCUAUUUCUCCCUUUUAAGUUCUGAAAAUUUUUCCUCUCUGAAUUUUUUCCAGUCCCUAUCUCUAUAUCAACUCCUCCUAUUUAUAGGCUAGAACUAAACAUUAUUUAUUCAAAGUUUUUCACUUUCAGCCUGUAUAUUCCCUCCCAUGUGCAUCUAUACACUUUUAUCAUUAAUCUCAUGCUUACUUUCUGAUUUUCCACCCUUAAAGACACCAGACAGGGUAUAUUCUGCACUACUAAUUCCCUUUCCAUUAAACAAUUCAAUCAAUUUAAUUAUACACUGAAUAUUAACUGGCAGACUACUAACACUAAACUUUUUAAAUCCCCUAUUAUUAUUGCCUUGCCCUCACUCUUAGCAAUCUGUAUUUAAACCUCUUUGAUUUACAACUACACCAAAUCACUACACAGCUACAACCAAUCCUUAAGUCAAAUUCACACAAAAUUAUUCAAGCAUCAAAACAUACCAACGAAGUGAUUCAUGCUGUAUUCGUCCAAACAAAGCAUUCAUAAACUAACUAUUCGACGAAGUUGUUCAAAUCGAAUGUAGCUUAUAACUCAAACAAACAGAAGAAAAACCUUGACCAAAUAAAAGGUCUUGAAGAAGAAGGAGAACUAAUGAACAAGACAAGAUUUACAAAAAAUAACACUUUAAACAAAGAUUCAAUAAUCCAAAAAAUAGAAUAAAAAAAAACAAGAUUAGGAACAACAUUUAAAACCAAAGCCAUAACAGAAAAUAAAAAAAAAUGAACUAAAUAAUCUUGAAAGAAAAUCCUAAAACUUGAACGAACCCAAGUCGAGCUCGGAGUUGAACUAUUGGAGGUCGAACGGAC